rnacentral:rRNA from 1 species
AUGCGCGAGCUGGCGGCGCGGCUGACGGCGGCGGCGUCGGCGGGGGCGCGCGCGGCGGCGGCCGCCGCCCGCCCCACCAGCCCGUCGCGCCCCCGCACCCGGCCGCGGGGCCUCGACGAGGAGACCUGCGCCGCCACGCCCGCCCCCUCGGCCGCGGCCGCGCCGCCCGCCGACGUCCCCAUGGACGCCGACGUCUGGGCGGCGCUCCCGGACGACCUGCUCCUCGAGGUGCUCGCCCGGGUCCCGCCCUUCCUCCUCCCGCGCCUCCGCGCCGUCUCCCGCCGCUGGGCCGCCACGGUGCCGCGCGGCCCGGCCUUCCUCGCCGCGCACGCCGCCGCGCCCUCCCACGGGCCCUGCGUGCUCGCCUUCGCGCGGGGCGGACCGGCCCCCGCCCACUGCGCCGCGCUCAGCCUGCCCCUCCGCGCGCGCUACCGGCUGCCCCUCGCCUUCCUCCCCGCCUGGGACCUCUGGCUCGUCGGCUCCUCGGGGGGCCUCGUCUGCUUCUCCGGCUUCGACGCCUCCUCCGUCUUCCGCACCCUCGUCUGCAACCCGCUCACGCAGGCCUGGCGGGUGCUCCCGGAGAUGCAUCACAACCAGCAGCGCCAGCUCGUGCUCGCCGUCGACAGGAGGCUCCGCUCCUUCAAGGUCAUUGCCACCAGCGAUGUCUACGGGGAGACACUCCCCACCGAGGUCUACGACUCCAAGGCGGACAGAUGGUCCGUGCACCAGAUGAUGCCCGCCGAGAACCUCUGCUCCUCCAAGAUGGCCUUCUGCGACUCCCGGCUGUACCUGGAGACGCUCUCGCCGCUCGGGCUCAUGAUGUACAGAGUGGAUGCGGGCAAAUGGGAGCAUAUACCAGCGAAAUUCCCCCGGUCGCUGCUCGACGGGUAUCUCGUCGCCGGAGCUCGCAAAAGGUUGUUCUUAGUGGGGAGGAUCGGGCUUUACAGCACCCUGCAGAGUAUGAGGAUCUGGGAGCUGGAUCAUGGCAGGACUGUCUGGGUGGAAAUAAGCAGGAUGCCGCCCAAGUACUUUAGAGCUCUGUUGAGGUUGUCUGCUGAGAGAUUUGAGUGCUUUGGGCAGGACAACCUCAUUUGUUUCACCUCGUGGAACCAGGGCAGAGGUCUCCUAUACGAUGUUGACAAGAAGGCUUGGUCGUGGAUUGCUGGCUGCGCAAGCCAAUUGUGCAAUACCCAGUUCUGCUUUUAUGAGCCAAGAUUUGACACAUCGAUCUAUUGA